rfam:Camelus ferus unplaced genomic scaffold scaffold571, whole genome shotgun sequence.
GAGGGUAUAGCUCAGUGAUAGAGUCAUGCCCAGCAUGCAUGAGGUCCUGGGUUCAGUCCCCAGUACCUCCU